rnacentral:miRNA from 32 species
GUGAAAUGUUUAGGACCACUUG